GACGAACGCUGGCGGCGUGCCUAAUACAUGCAAGUCGAACGCUGAUUUUUUAACUGAUGCUUGCAUCGACCAAAAAAUCGGAGUGGCGAACGGGUGAGUAACACGUGGGCAACCUGCCUAUAAGACUGGGAUAACUUCGGGAAACCGGAGCUAAUACCGGAUAAUUCUUUUCUACACAUGUAGGAAAGCUAAAAGACGGUUUACGCUGUCACUUAUAGAUGGGCCCGCGGCGCAUUAGCUAGUUGGUGAGGUAACGGCUCACCAAGGCCACGAUGCGUAGCCGACCUGAGAGGGUGAUCGGCCACACUGGGACUGAGACACGGCCCAGACUCCUACGGGAGGCAGCAGUAGGGAAUCUUCCGCAAUGGACGAAAGUCUGACGGAGCAACGCCGCGUGAGUGAUGAAGGUUUUCGGAUCGUAAAACUCUGUUGUUAGGGAAGAACAAGUACGAGAGUAACUGCUCGUACCUUGACGGUACCUAACCAGAAAGCCACGGCUAACUACGUGCCAGCAGCCGCAGUAAAAC
rnacentral:rRNA from 1 species